rnacentral:RNase_P_RNA from 1 species
UAAGCAAAUCGGGUAACCGCUCCACGCCUCUGGCGAGGGGAGGAAAGUCCGAGCUCCACGAGCAGCGUAGCGGGUAACACCCGCCGGCCGCGAGGCCAGGAUUCCCCGCCUUUUGCGGGGCUCCGCAGAGUCGCAAGACGCAUGCGGGGAGAGCAACAGAGACGAGUCUCCGCCGCUGAAAAGCCGGCGGAGGGUGAAACGGGCAAUCUCUACGCGGAGCAAGACCAAAUAGGUCCUGACUUAGAAUGGCUCGAUUCUACCGUAAUUUAUCGGUGUCAGGACGGGUAAGGUCGCUCGACCCUGUCAGUAAUGACAGGGCAAGAUAAAUGGUUACCGUUCUCCCGCCUUAGGCGGGGGGAAACAGAACUCGGCUUACAGAUUUGCUUAAUCA